rnacentral:rRNA from 1 species
UCAAAUUUGAAAUCUGGCCCUUGGGUCCGAAUUGUAAUUUGUAGAGGAUGCUUUUGAUGCGGUACUUUCCGAGUUCCCUGGAACGGGACGCCUUAGAGGGUGAGAGCCCCGUACGGUUGGAUACCAAAUCUCUGUAUAGCUCCUUCGACGAGUCGAGUAGUUUGGGAAUGCUGCUCUAAAUGGGAGGUAAAUUUCUUCUAAAGCUAAAUACCGGCCAGAGACCGAUAGCGCACAAGUAGAGUGAUCGAAAGAUGAAAAGCACUUUGAAAAGAGGGUUAAAUAGCACGUGAAAUUGUUGAAAGGGAAGCGUUUAUGACCAGACUUUUUCUAUUCGGAUCAUCCGGUGUUCUCACCGGUGCACUUCGUUUAGUUUAGGCCAGCAUCGGUUUCCGUAGAGGGAUAAAAGCAGUAGGAAUGUGGCUCCUUCGGGAGUGUUAUAGCCUAUUGUAUAAUACCUUUAUAGGGACCGAGGUACGCGC